rnacentral:rRNA from 1 species
UACGGGGGGGGGCAAGCGUUUGUUCGGAAUUACUGGGCGUAAAGGGCUCGUAGGCGGCCAACUAAGUCAUACGUGAAAUCCCUCGGCUUAACCGGGGAACUGCGUCUGAUACUGGAUGGCUUGAGUUCGGGAGAGGGAUGCGGAAUCCAGGUGUAGCGGUGAAAUGCGUAGAUAUCUGGAGGAACACCGGUGGCGAAGGCGGCAUCCUGGACCGAUACUGACGUGAGGAG